AGAUAUGUUCAUAUAGCAGUGAACAAGUUAAUCAAAAGAAAUGCUAUUCAAGA
ncrna:unclassified sequences 6A RNA